UCUUCCUUUCUCUCCCCAGCUCCCCACCAAUGGGAACACGCUGAGGAAAGACCAAGUGAGGACAUAGUGAGAAGAUGACCAUCUGCAAGCCAGAAAGAGAGCUCUCUCAGGAACUGAGUCAGCAGCAAGCUGCAAUGAUGGAGAGUGCCACAUGGCAAGAAACUGGAGGACAUCCUCCAAUGUUACCUAGCAAGAGACUGGGACCACUAUUACUACAGCCUACAAAGAACUGAGGGCUCUCAACAAUCAUGUGAACUUGGAAGAGGAUUUUUCCCCUGUCAAACUUCAGAUGAGACCACAGCCUCAGAGAAUGUCCUGAAUAUCAAGGGAGAUCUCUUCCACCAUGUGAGGUUACAGCAAGAAGAUGAACAUAUAUGAACCAGGAAAAGGGUUCUCACCAGACACUGAAUCUGCUGGUGCCUUGAUCUUGGAUUUCCAGUCUCUAAAACCGUAAGAAAUAAAUUUCUGUUGUUUGUAAGCUAAAACAAACAAAAAAAAAAGUGGAGGGGAAAGAUCAGUUAGGAGAUGCU